rnacentral:tRNA from 1 species
GAUCGCGUAAGCUCAGUUGGCAGAGCAUUGGGCUAGUAUUCCAAAGGUCGUAGGUUCGAUUCCCACCAUGAUCA